AUUGAACGCUGGCGGCAGGCCUAACACAUGCAAGUCGAGCGGAGCGGCGGACGGGCGAGUAAUUCCUAGGAAUCUGCCUGGUCGUGGGGGUUAACGUCCGGAAACGGGCGCUAAUACCGCAUAUUAUCAGUCGAGCCUAGGGCGGAUUAGCUAGUUGGGGGGGUAAAGGCCUACCAAGGUGACGAUCCGUAGCUGGUCUGAGGGGAUGAUCAGUAACACUGGAACAGAGGCACGGUCCAGACUCCUACGGGAGGCAGUAGUGGGGAAUAUUGGACAAUGGGCGAAAGCCUGAUGCAUCCCUGCCGCGUGUGUGAAGAGGGUCUUCGGAUUGUAAAGCACUUUAAGUUGGGAGGCGUUACCGACAGAAUAAGCACCGGCUAACUACGUGCCAGCAGCCGCGGUAAUAC
rnacentral:rRNA from 1 species